GCGGUGGGCGGCGAGGCGGGUGAGCACCUCGUCCUCCCGGGGCGGGCCGGUGCCGCCGUCCGGGCCGGUGCCGCCGUCC
rnacentral:tRNA from 1 species